CCUACGGGAGGCUGCAGUGGGGAAUAUUGGACAAUGGGCGAAAGCCUGAUCCAGCCAUGCCGCGUGUGUGAAGAAGGCCUUCGGGUUGUAAAGCACUUUCAGUGGGGAAGAAAGCCUUGGGGCUAAUACCCUCGAGGAAGGACAUCACCCACAGAAGAAGCACCGGCUAACUCCGUGCCAGCAGCCGCGGUAAUACGGAGGGUGCGAGCGUUAAUCGGAAUUACUGGGCGUAAAGCGCGCGUAGGCGGUCUGAUAAGCCGGUUGUGAAAGCCCCGGGCUCAACCUGGGAACGGCAUCCGGAACUGUCAGGCUAGAGUGCAGGAGAGGAAGGUAGAAUUCCCGGUGUAGCGGGGAAAUGCGUAGAGAUCGGGAGGAAUACCAGUGGCGAAGGCGGCCUUCUGGACUGACACUGACGCUGAGGUGCGAAAGCGUGGGUAGCAAACAGGAUUAGAUACCCGAGUAGUC
rnacentral:rRNA from 1 species